UGCAAGUCGAACGCGGGGAGCAAUCUCUGCGUGGCGCACGGGUGAGUAACGCGUGGGAACCUGCCCUCGAGUGGGGGAUAACCCGGCGAAAGCCGGGGUAAUACCGCAUACGUCCCGUCGCAAGACGGGAGAAAGAUUUAUCGCUCGAGGAGGGGCCCGCGUCGGAUUAGCUAGUUGGUGAGGUAACGGCUCACCAAGGCGAUGAUCCGUAGCUGGUCUGAGAGGAUGAUCAGCCACACUGGGACUGAGACACGGCCCAGACUCCUACGGGAGGCAGCAGUGGGGAAUAUUGGACAAUGGGCGCAAGCCUGAUCCAGCAAUGCCGCGUGAGUGAUGAAGGCCUUAGGGUUGUAAAGCUCUUUCGCACGCGACGAUGACGACGGUAGCGUGAGAAGAAGCCCCGGCUAACUUCGUGCCAGCAGCCGCGGUAAUACGAAGGGGGCGAGCGUUGUUCGGAAUUACUGGGCGUAAAGGGCGCGUAGGCGGCCUUUGAAGUCAGGCGUGAAAGCCCCGGGCUCAACCUGGGAAUUGCGUUUGAUACUCGAAGGCUGGAGUUCGGGAGAGGAGAGUGGAAUUCCCAGUGUAGAGGUGAAAUUCGUAGAUAUUGGGAAGAACACCGGUGGCGAAGGCGGCUCUCUGGACCGAAACUGACGCUGAGGCGCGAAAG
rnacentral:rRNA from 1 species